UCCCUACCCAUGUGUGUAGGACACCAAAGGAUCACCAUUAAAGUUGGUACGGAUCUGUAGAAAAGUUAUCACAUGGGUGUGGGACUUGAUUUUUCUAUAGAUUCGUGGCAAAUUUAAUAGUGAUCCUUUGGGGUCCUAUACACAUGGGUGGGGG
rnacentral:pre_miRNA from 1 species